rnacentral:sRNA from 1 species
UAAGCAAAUGACACAAAAUAAAUAAUUCAACAUCAAUUCUAAUAAGUGAUUUGUUAAUUAGUUUGUUUAGUGUCAGUUUAAUCAAAUUGAUACAAAUUUGUAUUAGUUUGCAUCACUUCAGAAAAUAGAUACAAAAAUAUGUAUUUACAUCAACUAAGAUAACCGGUGUAUUCCCUUAUUUUUAUUAACAUCAUUUUUAAAAAUGAUACAAAAUAUAGAUCAAUAGAAAGUGAUGCUAAGAACUUAUUAUUAGAAAAAAAACUAACUGAAUUAAAUAAUUUAUUGUUAUAAAUGACACGGAAUUGUUAUUUCCAUAGAUAAAUAAUAUUCUUAAAUUUAUCAUUAUUCUUAAUUUCUUUUUCUCCUCAAAAUCAGCAAAAUUAAAUAAAUUUAUUUCCUUAAUCACAAUCCUAUUUUUACGUUCACGAUCUUUUUUGCUAUGUCAUCUCCAAAAGACGUUCUUAUGAUAUCUGCAAAUCAGUUUUUGAAAUCUCAUAACUCUCAUACCAUUCUUCACCUUCACACAUCUGUACUUUUUAAUUCUCUAUCGUUCUAUCUUUCUCUCCUAAGUCCUAACAAUCACUCAGGUUUUUUCUUUUCUUCUAUUUUUAUAAAUCUGUCAUGAACACAGAAGAACACUGCAUAAUUAAUACAGAUAUGCAUUGCUAAUCAUUAGGACUGUGUUUCCUACACAGAUUGGAGAAGCAUAAAGUAAAGGU